ACAGCAGAGAUUUAGUGUAUCAGUGUUGUACUACAAUCAUUGCAUUCUGUUACUGAAAGAUUACCCUGAAAAAUUGACUUGGGGUAGAUGGGCUGUUGUCUUUCAUCUCAAUGGUUGAAACCAGCACUUAUGUUCCCCUGCCCA